GAUGAAGAACGUAGCGAAAUGCGAUACUUGGUGUGAAUUGCAGAAUCCCGUGAACCAUCGAGUCUUUGAACGCAAGUUGCGCCUCAAGCCAUUAGGUUGAGGGCACGUCUGCCUGGGCGUCACAUAUCGUUGCCUGAUGCCAGUUUCCUCGUGAUGGGUGACUGUGCAGGGCGAAUGAUGGCUUCCCGUGAGCAUUGUUGCCUCAUGGUUGGUUGAAAAUUGAGUCCUUGGUAGGGAGCGCCAUGAUAGAUGGUGGUUGAGUGACGAACGAGACCCAAUCAUGUGAGACCCCUACCGAAUUUGGCCUUCAUGACCCACAUGCGUCUUUGGAACGCUCAUGACGAGACCUCAGGUCAGGCGGGGCUACCCGCUGAGUUUAAGCAUAUCAAUAAGCGGAGGA
rnacentral:misc_RNA from 1 species